UACGGGGGGGGCAAGCGUUGUUCGGAAUUACUGGGCGUAAAGGGCUCGUAGGCGGCCAACUAAGUCAGACGUGAAAUCCCCAGGCUCAACCUGGGAACUGCGUCUGAUACUGGAUGGCUUGAAUCCGGGAGAGGGAUGCAGAAUUCCAGGUGUAGCGGUGAAAUUCGUAGAUAUUCGCAAGAACACCAGUGGCGAAGGCGGCUCACUGGCCCGAUACUGACGCUGAGGCACGAAAGCGUGGGGAGCAAACAGG
rnacentral:rRNA from 1 species